CACGGGGGGUGCGAGCGUUGUCCGGAAUUAUUGGGUGUAAAGAGCUCGUAGGCGGUGUGUCACGUCGGCCGUGAAAACCUGCAGCUUAACUGUGGGCGUGCGGUCGAUACGGGCAUCACUGGAGUUCGGCAGGGGAGACUGGAAUUCCUGGCGUAGCGGUGAAAUGCGCAGAUAUCAGGAGGAACACCGGUGGCGAAGGCGGGUCUCUGGGCCGAUACUGACGCUGAGGAGCGAAAGCGUGGGGAGCAAACAGG
rnacentral:rRNA from 1 species